CCUUAAAAAGAAAAUUUCACCUCACGGCUGGAAGAAAGAUGCUUUGAGAAAUCAAAUUCAGAGCUACUUCUCGGCAGAUUUUGUAUUGGAAAAGGCUUCCAUCAACCUUCCCAAGUGUCUCUCUCAGAUGGUUAAUAUGGUAUUAAAUCGCCUCAGUGAAAUGCAUACAAUCUCAGAAAUUCUAAACAAACACAUCACUGAGGAGAUGUAAAUCAUCAAUUCAAAGAACUCCUUAUUUGCUGAACAAACCAAGGAUGUUAUUUGCUUAGCUUUAUACUGACAAGCACUUGUCAGACUGUUUUUUGAGAGGUAUUCCUGCAGCUCAGUUGCUCUGAUGACUUGCCAGUUGCACAGUCUCCUCAAUGUCCAAGCUCUGCACUGCAUCUCUACUUCAGAAUUAAUUUUGGGGCGGAAAAAGACAACUCUGUAGCAAACUCCUUUCUAGGAUAGCUUUCAGUCACAGCAGGAACAGCACUUACAGUUUGAUCUCAUACACCCUGGCUUUGCUGGAGAAGCUCCUGGCAUGUUAUGUGAAGAGCUGGUUUCCGGAGAGCAUUGCCCUCGCACCCUGGAAGCCAACAGGAGAGGAACUAUGAUGUUAUAAAAAACAGUGCAGUUUAAGCAAAAUAAUUGAACAUUUGAUAUCUUUCUUUCUCUGAACUGUGUUUAUAACAGAACAAUUGACUCCCAACCUUUUCCAUGGGAGAUGAGUGUAAGACUACCCCAGCUGCCUGAAACCUCCACUCCCAGCGCAGGGAAUUAGAUUAAAAAUAUCAGCAUUCUUUAAAAAAAAAAAAAAAAGACAAUGGAAAAAAACCCAAACCAAACCGAACAGGUGCAAAACUAGCGUUGGGAUGAUGUGAAGGGCACUUCUGUGAGAAGGCUCAUGUUGUGGGCUCAUGCUAGCACACCCUACAGUAAUGUAAACGGAAAAGUAACCUUUGCUUACAGCAGGAAGACUUCAGACUGCCAUUGGAUACCUCUGCAUUUCCCCAGGCACUACUCUCAGGGAGCAGGGGGCUGAAUUUUGUCAAAAUGACCUAUUUGUGAUGAAGAGCCAGAUGGCCUCAAAGCAGGUGUGAUUUAGUAAAACGUUGUGUGUUCCCUCCUCAACAGUCUUCGCAGGGUUUAGUUUGCUGUUUGCUUUCAAUCCUAAUGAGAAAAGCAGGAAUUGCACUGGUGGCUUUGGGGAGAGCCAAGGAUCUCUCUGGUGCCCCAUUUACCACUAAGCACUUGGGACCAUCAUCCUCAGCAACUGAGCCCUGCACCAUCCACAGCUCACAGCGCUUUCCCCAGCACCAGCAUCUUUGUAGGGGGCUCAUUCUCACAGGUGUUGCCUAGAAUUAGGUGGAAACAGGCAGCCUGAGCAGGGUGCCCUGUGCCGAAUUUAUAUGCAACAGAACUAACUCUCAUGGUCUAUGAAGUGCAAUCUGCCACUGAAGUAUGGAAAAACAUUCACUCCUCUGCAACUUCAAAGGCUGCGAUAAGGUCAGAGAUGUACGGAGCACAUGCUUUCUGUAGCCACGGACUACCGGGAGUGCUUCACCUCUCUCUGUAGACCUUCUGUCCCUGCUGGGUUGCCCCUCCACAUCACUGCCGAGGUGCAGGAUGCUUUGCUUAGGUGCGUGAACAUGACGGUUUUCUCCAUGUUGAGAUCCACAGCUUCUCUGUGCAAAAGUUGUGUUGCCAAUAGGUGGCAUACUUCUCCUGCCUCUGGGGACUGAAAAGGCUUGCUGCGUGUCUGAACUAGGUCUGAUCAAAUGCUGAUAGCUGUUCAGUUCAGCACACACACUAUCUUUCUCUGUUAGAGCUCUCUAUGCAGGAGGUAAUUAAUUAGUUCUCUGAUGUGUGACUUGGACACUUCCUGCUCUUCUGCGAACUUGACAGAGAGUGUGGAAUAAUGUCCUCAAAGUGCUGUAGGGAGUAACUAAAGUCCAUAUAGAAAUAUCCAGGUUAUAUAUCUCAUGGCACUUUUGUAAAUUAAACCUUUUGGCAUGAAGAACAGCACCCCACUUGCAAUAAAAUAAACAGUUUUUAAGAAACCCGUGUUAACCAAGGUCUCUGCUGGAACUUAGCCUUGAAUGUAUUGUUGUCUUCAGUAGAGCUGUACACAGAGCACACAGUUAAGCAUAUCUGUAAUUCCAGUCUUUGCACAUUCACUGAAACAAAGUCGUAAUUGCACAGACCUAUUGGCAGG
ensembl:lncRNA